GACGAACGCUGGCGGCGUGCUUAACACAUGCAAGUCGAACGGAAAGGCCCUGCUUUUGUGGGGUGCUCGAGUGGCGAACGGGUGAGUAACACGUGAGUAACCUGCCCUUGACUUUGGGAUAACUUCAGGAAACUGGGGCUAAUACCGGAUAGGAGCUCCUGCUGCAUGGUGGGGGUUGGAAAGUUUCGGCGGUUGGGGAUGGACUCGCGGCUUAUCAGCUUGUUGGUGGGGUAGUGGCUUACCAAGGCUUUGACGGGUAGCCGGCCUGAGAGGGUGACCGGCCCCAAUGGGGACUGAGAAAGGGCCAAGACUCCAAGGGGAGGGAGGAGUGGGGGAAAUUGCACAAUGGGCGGAAGCCGGAGGCAGAAACGCCGGGGGGGGGAGGGCGGCUUUGGGGUGGGAAACCGAUUUCGCGGGGGACGAGGGGGGAGGGGGGGAAAGGGUGAAAAAAGAACCGGUAAACUCGGG
rnacentral:rRNA from 1 species